GAAAGCUUUUGGAUUGUUCUACUA
rnacentral:siRNA from 1 species